AUUGAACGCUGGCGGCAGGCCUAACACAUGCAAGUCGAGCGAGCGGCGGACGGGUGAGUAAUGUUUGGGGACUGCCCGUUAGAGGGGGAUAACUACUGGAAACGGUGCCUAAUACCGCAUACUGACGGAUGACGCAUGUGGGAUUAGCUAGUAGGUAAGGUAAUGGCUUACCUAGGCGACGAUCCCGAGCUGGUCUGAGAGGAUGAUCAGCCACACUGGGACUGAGACACGGCCCAGACUCCUACGGAGGCAGCAGUGGGGAAUCUUGCACAAUGGGCGCAAGCCUGAUGCAGCCAUGCCGCGUGUAUGAAGAAGGCCUUAGGGUUGUAAAGUACUUUCAGUCGGGAGGCGUUACCGACAGAAGAAGCACCGGCUAACUCCGUGCCAGCCGCCGCGGUAAUUC
rnacentral:rRNA from 1 species